rnacentral:tRNA from 1 species
CAGAAUAUAGCUUACACAAAGCAUCUUGCUUACACCAAGAAAACAUCUGUCAUCCAGAUUAUUCUG